rnacentral:lncRNA from 1 species
AUGGGGAUCUGGACCUUGACCCUUCCCAUCCAAAACCUCAUCCAUCUACUUAGGAGGAAGGUAAAGCAAUCCUGCAGACAGGGGAGACAGAUGAGAAGUGAGUUUGGAGGCACAGGCUCAGCGUGGAAGCUCCUGGUAUCCCCAGAGUGCGCUGGGACAACCAUGAAGAGAACACCAUCCUGCAAGAGCUCCCAGCUCACCAGAGCACGCCCUGCUCUCCAGCUGCUUGAAUUGCCUUUGGCCAUGGGUGGUGGAUGUAUAGAAAAAUACAGCUCAGUCUUUUCCCAGGAUACACAGUUUUGUAGGCUUGGAGGGUCUUGGGAUGCUCUGAUCUGAGCUCCUCAUAAAACUGUAGGAAAUAUCUUUCCUUCUGUAGAUGCAGAAUGGCAUAACCCAGAGAAUGACGUGGUGCUUUGGGUGAAAUAUUUUCCACCUGAUGUCCGGACAGAGGAAAUUCAUCACAUAAUUCCAUCCAUCCUGAUACACAUAAGUAGCUGAUAAUCAAAAUAUGUAUCUAUUGCAAAUGACAAAUUAAGCAUCUUCACUGAAACGUGCACAUGGGCCCGUGUUUCCCUGCACCACCACAUCUCCAUCCCCUCCCAAUCUCCUUGGCUAUCCUUUCUACACCUGCAGGCCACUAAGGGGGGCUGGCACCCAACUGAUGUGUUUUCCCAGACACUUGUGACCUCCAGACCCAUCCAAAGUUUUUCCAGCACGGUCUCCUCCUCGCUGGAUCUCCACUCAGUUCAUCUCAGCUUUCUGUGACCCGUCAAGACUCAGAACGGUGCACAAAUAUUGAUUGAUGUAGACAAUAUUUAUAUCAUAUAUAUAUAUAAUAUACAACUGACCCCAGCGGUAUGUAUCUAUCUGUGUGUGUAUAUCUUACUGUACGUAGAGAGCUGCCUUACAGACGUCUGUCUCUCUUAGAUAUCAGAAUUAUUUAUCCGAGAUAAAUAUCAUUGUUACUGAUGGGAGCAGCGAGCGCCGCCCAUCCCGCGCAGCGGUCCCGGUGCCGCCUGUCUCUCCGACAGUGGGUGGCACUGUGCAAUCAAAAUAGCUUUGCUUUCCCUUUAUUCCACUGCCUUCAUCUUCC